AUGCCAACAAUUCUCCAAUCCAGGAUUCAGCAAUACAUGAACCAUGAACUUCCAGAUGUUCAAGCUGGUUUUAGAAAAGGCAGAGGAACCAGAGAUCAAAUUGCCAACGUCUGUUGGAUCACGGAAAAAGCAAGAGAGUUCCAGGAAAACAUCUAUUUCUGCUUUAUUAACUAUGCCAAAGCCUUUGACUGUGUGGAUCACAAUAAACUGUGGAAAAUUCUGAGAGAGAUGGGAAUACCAGACCACCUGACCUGCCUCUUGAGAAACGUAUAUGCAGGUCAGGAAGCAACAGUUAGAACCGGAUAUGGAACAACAAACUGGUUCCAAAUAGGAAAAGGAGUACCUCAAGGCUGUAUAUUGUCACACUGCUUAUUUAACUUAUAUGCAGAGUACAUCAUGAGAAACACUGGGCUGGAAGAAGCACAAGCUGGAAUCAAGAUUGCUGGGAGAAAUAUCAAGAACCUCACAUAUGCAGAUGACACCACCCUUAUGGCAGAAAGUGAAGAGGAACUAAAAAGCCUCUUAAUGAAAGUGAAAGUGGAGAACAAAAAAGUUGGCUUAGAGCUCAACAUACAGAAAAUGAAGUUCAUGGCAUCUGGUCCCAUCACUUCAUGGGAAAUAGAUGGGGAAAUAGUGGAAAUAGUAUCAGACUGUAUUUUGGGGGGCUCCAAAAUCACUGCAGAUGGUGAUUGCAGCCAUGAAAUUAAAAGACGCUUACUCUUUGGAAGGAAAUUUAUGAGCAACCUAGACAGCAUAUUAAAAAGCAGAGAUAUCACUUUGCCAACAAAGGUCCAUCUAGUUAAGGUUAUGGUUUCACCAGUGGUCAUGUAUGGAUGUGAGAGUUGGACUGUGAAGAAAGCUGAGGGCCAAAGAAUUGAUGCUUUUGAACUGUGGUGUUGGAGAAGACUCUUGCAUGUCCUUUGGACUGCACGGAGAUCCCACCAGUCCAUUCUGAAGGAGAUCAGCCCUGGGAUUUCUUUGGAAGGAAUAAUGCUAAAGCUGAAACUCCAGUACUUUGGCUACCUCAUGCGAAGAGUUGGCUCAUUGGAAAAGACUCUGAUGCUGGGAGGGAUUGAGGGCAGGAGGAGAAGGGGACGACAGAGGAUGAGAUGGCUGGAUGACAUCACUGACUCGAUGGACGUGAAUCUGAGUGAACUCCGGGAGUCGGUGAUGGACAGGGAGGCCUGGCGUGCUGCGAUUCAUGGGGUCAGAAAGAGUCGGAAAGGACUGAGUGACUGA
rnacentral:lncRNA from 1 species